GUUUCAUUUGUUUUAUUUUAUUUUUACCAUUUUAUUUUCAAAUUUGAUUUAUUUUUUACCCUCAUUUAUUUUAUUACUUUGAAAAUAUGUUCAACAUAGACCCCCAUUAUUAUUGUCUCUAGUAUUUAAUUAUGUCUUGUUUCAUGUCAUUUGGAUAUUUUAAGGUACUUAUGAGGUCUUGAACUUUAAGGCUAAUGAAGUCUACUUUGUCAUGAUAUUGGUUUGGUUUAAGGUUGUUUG
rnacentral:lncRNA from 1 species